UACCUAAAGACCCAAAGAAUAUGAAUUCCUGCAGUCACGAAAGCUUUAAGUUAAGAUUUAACCCGAACAUUUAUCAAGCUCCGAAACUCCCGAUCGUAAUCCAGCGACAGGAGAAGGAGGAUGAGAGGGGUGGGGGUUUGCGGGCAGUGGUGGCCGGGAUCACCAAUUUCCGACCGUCUUUGCGAAAUGCCAGCGACGUUGUACAACGAGUUCACACAAAAAUGAGCAGUGCGCUUCACCUCCUGGAGCUGAUGGCACAACCGUGGACACCAUCAGAGAAGCCAGGGACAAGUUUGCCACAAGAGUCUGUGUCAAGACCUGCCACCUACCCAGGAUCACGACUCUCAGGCAUGAGAUGCAAUGCUUGCUUGCUGCUGCUCCUUUCAAUGACGAUUUUAUUUUUCCGCAAAUUUUUUUGUUUCUUUCUAGCGCAGUCACAGAGGUCAAGCAGCGCCUGCACAAACGUCACUUAAUGAAGGUCUCACGAACCCCGCGGACGCGAAUUGCUCCAGUCGUGCGCUGCGAUGCCACGGGUUGUAAUUACGCAGUUGCCCAGCAGCGAGUGCUCACGC